GAGGAAACUGCAGACUGUGUGGCCUCAGGGGCAGGACGCAGGCUGCCUCACGGAAGCUCUAUGCAGACCGAUGCCAGCUCACGGGGAGGAGGAACCUCUGCCUAUCAGAGUGUCCAUCCAUAGGCCUGGCCACCUUGGGGCCACCUCCCAUCUCUCCUCUGUCAGCUCUCUGGUCCCUCGUUCCAGCUAACACACCUCCCAUCUCUGGGGGUGUGUUAGCAGGGGUGGCUUGACCCCAGCCGUUCCAUUCCAGAAACAAAGGGCAGGUGUAGGUUUUUCCAGUUAGUUGUUAGAGUUUUUUUGGGACCCUGCAGACUGGCGUCUAGAGCAGCUGUGACCUGAGGUGGCUGCCAAAGGGCUCCAGGUGUUUGCCAGAUGAUAGGGGUGUGGUCUGAGGGUCCAGCCCUGAUGGGUGCCUGUGCCCUGACACACGAGGCCUCACCUCAUUGAAAAUUGGGGCUAGGCAGCUUUGUCAAACUGCCCAGAGCACUGGAGAUUGGAGAGGAAGGGUGCCCAACCCACACAGGGUGUGACAGUGCUUGUUCUCUGUCCUCUGCAGCAGGUUGGGCAACCUGGGCAGGGCCAUGCCAUGCCAUGUCGUGGCCCUGCACCCUUUAGAAGAUCCACUCUCCCGUGCCCUGGUGGGGUUUCCUCAGGGAAGUGGCCACCCUAUUCUCCCCACUGAGCUGGGGGUCCCCCUGGCAAAUGGAUGACCAGCUGCAGUCCUGCCCCGGCUCUGGGUUUCUGAGUGGUCACUAGGGCAGGAGAGGAAGAGUGUCCCAACACAGCAGGCGGCUGGCACAGGAUAGUAUCCCUGUGGCUCAGUGCCACCACACGUCCCAUGCCCCAGGCUCUGUGAAGGCUGCUGCGCUUGACUCUUGGGACUCAGUUCUGCUGUGGCUUCAGGACAGGCUUCUCCCAUCUUGCUGUGCUGCUGUACUGUUGUCCCCUGCCUGAUUCACUCUGGGUUAACUGUUGGGUGGCUGCAUCCUGACCUGCUACACCCAGCUCAGCCCUUGUCAGCAUUGUCAGGCUGGGGCCAGCAUUGUUGGUGGCCCCCAAAUUCCUGCAAAGCCUUUCCAUCUCAACAUGCCAUGUGCAAUGGAAUGCUGCUUGCACAUGGCCCUUACACGUGCCAGGGUCUACCCACACGCACUGCGACCAGGUGAUGCCUGCACCUGCCUGACCUGUGUAUGCAUGGGGUGCCAAUCCCACCUUUAACCCCCUCCCACCAGCCUAGACACCCCUGCCUCCUAAAUAUGCUCCUUUCUUUCCACCUGUGCACCUUUUACGCUCUCUCCUGGCCUGUUCACAGGUAACUCUUGCUGUGCAUGACUUCCUCUGGCAGAGCGACCCUGUGAUGUUGAUCUAGGAUGUCUGCCAAAUGAAGGCACAAUCGCCAUCUUCCCUCCACUGACAGCAGGAGCAGUGCUGCUUUGUCCCCAGGCCCGUCAUGCUGCUCAGCCCAUGGCCAGACAUGGAGUGGAGGGCCAGUCUGUCCACUCAGGGUCAGAUGGACCUGCCUGAUGCUGCAGGAGAUGAGGUACAGAUGGGCCGAAGCAUCUCUCUUGGGACACACUGCACACUGGUGUGGCUCCUUGGUGACCUUGCUCUACCUCUGUUGCAUCAGCUGCUGCAUGGGGUUAGUGGGUCUGGCUCACUGCCCUGAUUGCCGGGGUGUGGUGAGCUGGAGGAACGUCAGAGCUGGCUAUUGAGGUGGAUGACACGGUCUUGGCAGAGCGGGAAAUGGGUGGGAGGGGGGUGGCGCUCGACUCAACAAGAAAGAUGGGCCAGAAGUAAUCGAGAUUAUUGAAAGGGGAGCCAGAAGGGACUUGGCACUGCGACCAGCAUAUGACGUGGCAUGAGUCUCUUGCCCUAUCUGGAUAUUACAGUUGUUCUGGACAAAAUGUGGCUUCCUUCCUCGGACCCUGCAUCUGGGGAUGGAAGCACUGUGGUGGCAUGGAUCUUGACAAUCAGUGUGGUAUCUCCUGUGUGCAGAACAUGCAUGGCACAGGGUAGGAACUCACCAGGUGUUUGUUCAAUAAUUGAAUGAAUGAAUAAAAUGCAAGUUGGACUUUUGUAA